rnacentral:rRNA from 1 species
GACGAACGCUGGCGGCGUGCCUAACACAUGCAAGUCACGGGGGGUAGCAAUACCAACCGGCGAACGGGUGAGCAACACGUGAGCAAUUUGCCGAUCUCUGGGGGAUAGCCGGCCCAACGGCCGGGUAAUACCGCAUACGCUCUUUGGGGGACAUCCCCUGAUGAGGAAACCUCCGGGGGAGAUCGAGAAGCUCGCGUCCUAUCAGCUAGUUGGCGGGGUAACGGCCCACCAAGGCGAUGACGGGUAGCUGGUCUGAGAGGAUGGCCAGCCACAUUGGGACUGCGGCACGGCCCAGACUCCUACGGGAGGCAGCAGUGGGGAAUAUUGCGCAAUGGACGAAAGUCUGACGCAGCGACGCCGCGUGUGGGAUGAAGCUCUUCGGGGUGUAAACCACUGUUGCCCGGGACGAACCUCCCCUUUCGAGGGGACUGACGGUACCGGGUGAGGAAGCACCGGCUAACUCUGUGCCAGCAGCCGCGGUAAUACAGAGGGUGCGAGCGUUGUCCGG